GUGCUUGCACAGAAUGAUUAGUGGCGAACGGGUGAGUAACACGUGAGUAACCUGCCCCUGACUCUGGGAUAAGCCUGGGAAACUGGGUCUAAUACUGGAUAUGCACCGUAGACCGCAUGGUUUUUGGUGGAAAGAAUUUUGGUCAGGGAUGGACUCGCGGCCUAUCAGCUUGUUGGUGAGGUAAUGGCUCACCAAGGCGACGACGGGUAGCCGGCCUGAGAGGGUGACCGGCCACACUGGGACUGAGACACGGCCCAGACUCCUACGGGAGGCAGCAGUGGGGAAUAUUGCACAAUGGGCGAAAGCCUGAUGCAGCGACGCCGCGUGAGGGAUGACGGCCUUCGGGUUGUAAACCUCUUUCAGUAGGGAAGAAGCGAAAGUGACGGUACCUGCAGAAGAAGCGCCGGCUAACUACGUGCCAGCAGCCGCGGUAAUACGUAGGGCGCAAGCGUUAUCCGGAAUUAUUGGGCGUAAAGAGCUCGUAGGCGGUUUGUCGCGUCUGCCGUGAAAGUCCGAGGCUCAACUUCGGAUCUGCGGUGGGUA
rnacentral:rRNA from 1 species